GUUGGUCAGGCUGGUCUCGAAUUCCUGGCCUCAGGUGAUCUGCCCACCUCAGCCUCCCAAAGUGCUGGGAUUACAGGCGUCAGCCACCAUGCCUAGCCCAAGAAACUUAAGAAUUUUUAUGUUAUCAGGCCAUCAGCUGGAUCAAGAUAUUCAAAGCCCUUCUUUUUAUCCUUUUUAAGGGGUGGGGAGGGAACAACAUCAUUAGAAUGCCCGAGAAAUUAGGGGGAAAAGGACAUGAAACAAAAAUCUGACAAGGACUCCUAAGGACCAACAGCUCUCACCUUGUGUGGCAUGCUCUGUCUAUACCCUCAGCACCACUGACUGGGCAAAGCAACGUGUUCCAGAAGGCUCCCCACAUGCAGACAGUGGGGUCCAUGGGGUGGCUCCUCCAAACUGCAUCAGGGAAUCAGGAAGGGACUGGCCUGGAGCCAAGGGGAAAGGGAUGAUUGCUCCUGCUGUCACCACUUAAAGAGAAGGAAGAGAACACGUUAUAGGACAUUUUCUCAGCACUGACCCAACCCCUCACAAAGCUUCAUACCUUUUUCCCACAGAAGCUCAGCAUGUCAGCCAGAUGAACCAUGGAAACUGGAGAGGAACACAGGCGAUAAGGAACAGUGACUGUGUCCAGGGCUGUAGCCAGGAUGGCACUGCAGUGGAAGGGCAGAAUGGCCUGUAAGAAGACACCAAGAGGGGCACUUGGCCUCGGGCCUGGAAAAGAAUGUGUGGAGGCAGAAUGUUAACACCAGAGAGACCCAGGGGAUGAAUCAGGGGUAUGUUUGACCCCAGGCUGGACAAGCAUAGGACAGUGUGAUCUGAGAGGCCACAUCACAGCUGAGUUCAAGCUCGGGCCUCAGGAACAGAGCCAGUACAGACAGCGACUGACUGGGAGCAUGAGGAGGCCCUGUAGCCUGCCGCAGUCAGAACAAGAGCACCGAGACUUACAUCAUAAUGCAGAUCCAUGAGGAUGAGUCGCGGCGUGUAGGUCUCCUGGCCGUGCAGCGUCCGGCCCGUACGAUACAGGACGUCGGGGCACAGCUCUCCCGGGGGCUCCUUGGAAUCGGUCGCUCGGCCCAGCGCAGCAUCCUGGGGAAGCAGAGAGGACGAGGCAGGCCGGCUGAACGUCGGGACUGUAGAUCCCGAAGGGCUCCUCGGGGGCAGCUGCCGGCUGACCUCACCUGCUGGUUCCACCAGUGCGCGCCCACGAAACCGGCAAAAUGUCCCAACUGCAGUGUGAGCACCUCCCGGGCCCCGCCCGCCAUACUGCGCUGCUCCACGGGGCCGCCGCGCCUCAGCCGCGCCGCUCGCUGCUCCUAGCCGAUUGGCUUGGCAGGCGCGUGGGCGGGUGUUAUACUGGCGACUUAUUGGUCC
rnacentral:lncRNA from 1 species